GACGAACGCUGGCGGCGUGCUUAACACAUGCAAGUUGAACGAAGAGCGAUGGAAGCUUGCUUCUAUCAAUCUUAGUGGCGAACGGGUGAGUAACGCGUAAUCAACCUGCCCUUCAGAGGGGGACAACAGUUGGAAACGACUGCUAAUACCGCAUACGAUCUAAUCUCGGCAUCGAGGAUAGAUGAACGGUGGCCUCUACAUGUAAGCUAUCACUGAAGGAGGGGAUUGCGUCUGAUUAGCUAGUUGGAGGGGUAACGGCCCACCAAGGCGAUGAUCAGUAGCCGGUCUGAGAGGAUGAACGGCCACAUUGGGACUGAGACACGGCCCAGACUCCUACGGGAGGCAGCAGUGGGGAAUCUUCCGCAAUGGACGAAAGUCUGACGGAGCAACGCCGCGUGAGUGAUGACGGCCUUCGGGUUGUAAAGCUCUGUUAAUCGGGACGAAAGGCCUUCUUGCGAAUAGGGAGAAGGAUUGACGGUACCGGAAUAGAAAGCCACGGCUAACUACGUG
rnacentral:rRNA from 1 species